UCGAACGAGACCUUCGGGUCUAGUGGCGCACGGGUGCGUAACGCGUGGGAACCUGCCCUUAGGUUCGGAAUAACAGUGAGAAAUCGCUGCUAAUACCGGAUAAUGUCUUCGGACCAAAGAUUUAUCGCCUAUGGAUGGGCCCGCGUAGGAUUAGCUAGUUGGUGAGGUAAUGGCUCACCAAGGCGACGAUCCUUAGCUGGUCUUAGAGGAUGAUCAGCCACACUGGGACUGAGACACGGCCCAGACUCCUACGGGAGGCAGCAGUGGGGAAUAUUGGACAAUGGGCGAAAGCCUGAUCCAGCAAUGCCGCGUGAGUGAUGAAGGCCUUAGGGUUGUAAAGCUCUUUUACUGGGGAUGAUAAUGACAGUACCCAGAGAAUAAGCCCCGGCUAACUCCGUGCCAGCAGCCGCGGUAAUACGGAGGGGGCUAGCGUUGUUCGGAAAUACUGGGCGUAAAGCGCACGUAGGCGGCGUCGCAAGUCAGGGGUGAAAUCCCGGGGCUCAACCCCGGAACUGCCCUUGAAACUGCAAUGCUAGAAUCUUGGAGAGGCGAGUGGAAUUCCGAGUGUAGAGGUGAAAUUCGUAGAUAUUCGGAAGAACACCAGUG
rnacentral:rRNA from 1 species